GAUGAACGCUGGCGGCGUGCCUAAUACAUGCAAGUCGAGCGAACAGACGAGGAGCUUGCUCCUCUGACGUUAGCGGCGGACGGGUGAGUAACACGUGGAUAACCUACCUAUAAGACUGGGAUAACUUCGGGAAACCGGAGCUAAUACCGGAUAAUAUAUUGAACCGCAUGGUUCAAUAGUGAAAGACGGUUUUGCUGUCACUUAUAGAUUGAUCCGCGCGGCAUUAGCUAGUUGGUAAGGUAACGGCUUACCAAGGCAACGAUGCUUAGCCGACCUGAGAGGUGGACCGCCAACCUGGGACCUGGGACACGGCCCAGACUCCUACGGGAGGAAGAAGAAGGGAAUCUUCGGCAAUGGGCGAAAGCCUGACGGGGCAACGCGGCGUGAGUGAUGAAGGCCUUCGGAUCGUAAAACUCUGUUAUUAGGGAAGAACAAAUGUGUAAGUAACUAGGCACGUCUUGACGGUACCUAAUCAGAAAGCCACGGCUAACUACGUG
rnacentral:rRNA from 1 species